rnacentral:rRNA from 1 species
AAGUAGUAUCUUCAGAAAAACUAAUAUAGUUUGGCGGCAAAUAAUUAAAUCAAAGGAACUCGUGUUUUAAUCGACAAUCCUCGUUAAAUUUCUCUUUUUUACAAAGUUUAUAUACCGCCGUAUCUGACCAAAUUCAUAUAUUAAUGCUCCCAUAAAAUCUUUUUAAUUCAGGUCAAGGUGUAACUAACAAAAAAGCCAACAUAAGUUACAUUAAACACUAUUUAAGAAAUUAAAAGAAAACUCGCAAAGAAAAAGGAUUUGACUGUAAGUAUCUUUUAAUAAAAAAUACCGAAUUUAACUUUUUGUGC